UAAGAAGUAUGGUCACUAAAUGACAUCCAGGAGAAAUCUAUAUCCUUUCAGAGAGAGAGAGAGAGAAAGAGAGAGAGAGAGAGAGAGAAAUCUAUUCGUAUUAGCAAAUUAAAAAAAGAAGAUUCAAGAGUCACAAGACUUCUCCGGGUGUUCUCUGUCAGACUCAGAUCUGGUUUCAAGGAGGAAUGUGUUGAGAAAAGAAGCUAGAAAGACUUAGGAUCUUGGUAAGAGCCUAGGAAUUCAAAUUUUAGGGGAUGAAGAGAAAGUGGUGAAUUGAAUUGCUAAUCUCGAAGAAAAUCAAGUUAGGGGCAAGGAGGGUGCUGUUCAAGGUUGAUAACAGGAACCAUGAAGGUCCUCUCUUGGAAUUUGCGUGGAAUGGGUUCGGAUGUUAAACGAUCGACUCUUCGUAAAUUGCUAACAGAAAGUGGAGAUGGCAAUUAUUCUAGAAACAAAGUUGGAAUCGAUAACGACGAAAGUGAUUCGGAAGAUUUGGUACGUUGAUGAAUUCGAAUUUCAGUGGUCUCCAACUGUAGGUAGGCCAGGUUGGUCUUGUUUUCUAUUUGGAACAAAUUAGUUUUCAAUCUAGUACAGGUUAAGAUUAGGCAAAACUUCAUUUUUGUUAGGGGUCGUUGGAUUGGACAGGUGAUAGUGUAGCAAUUUUUUUAUGCUCCAUGUGUGGUGAAUGAACAAGUUGUUUUGUGGAAGGAGUUGAUCCAAAUGAAGCGAACGGUGUCUGCAAUAUGCUUAUUUAGAGGAGACUUUAAUGUCGUUAGAUAUAGAUGUGAAAAAAAGGGGGUGUUCCCCUCUUGAAGGGUUGUGGCGAAUUUAACAAAUUUAUCUCGAAAGGGAAUUUGAUUGACUUGCCGAUGUUGGGAAAGAUAUAACACAAUGGAGUUUGAAGCGUUUGGAGUCGGAUCAUAUUCCGAUUCUUCUUACCAAGGGUUCAUCAUAUUGGGGUUUGAAGUCUUGCAUUAGAGUGGAGUCGAGCUCUAAGGUGAUAUGGAAUUGGAUUCAGAAUCCUAUAUAUAGACCUUGGCAAUGGGGGGAUACUUCCUUGGAAAUUGUCAGGCUAACAUUGUUAGUAGGUAAGGUGAAUUUCAGCUUUAUUUCUAGAGUGGUUAAUGGGUCAUCUUUACAGCUUGCUGCUAUAGGUGCACUUAGACCUUAGGUGUUUAAAGCGUUUUGGUAGGAUUCAACCCUUUCCAGUGGUUGCUGUUGGGGGAGGUUGAUAUGUAGGCAGUGUUGUUUUUGGUAUCUUGAAGUUCGACCUUAAAAUUGGAAUGGGCGCUUGUUGGUGUGGUUUUUUCACGUUUGGGUAGUUGUGUUUUGAAUUAAAGUCGGAUGAUUUGAGGUGGUUUUCUUGUGCUCCUUUUGCGUGUGUUCCUGUAGCUGUACCUGGUGUGCUAGAGUCUUUGUCAAGAAACAUGUUUCCUAUGCUCGAAUUGUUGGUUGGUUGGGACUGUGGAGUAUAUAUCCUGUUUCGAAGGACUACUAUGAGUGCAAUCGGGGACUGGUUCAUUUGUUUCUCAUUUGAUUCUUGCCAGAAGUGGAUCCCAUUCGAUGUAGUGCUGUCUCAAGAGUGCUAAUGCCAUUGUUUUCCUACUUUUACUCUAUUGGGAAGAGAUCCGGUUUUGUGUUCGAAUAGCCUAGCUUUGUUCUCGUUGAUAUGUUUUAUGUGUUAUCUACUGGGAUUUUUUUUAUGAUUUUCUAUUAUUAAUAAGUUCCUAAUUAUUUGUGAUACGCAACCGGUAGGUUGUUUCUAAAACUACUUGGCUUGUUUUUAGGAUAACAAAAUUAUUGAGCCUUAUUUUUCUCUUUCUGGUUAUUGUAAGGCUUAUAUAAGCCAAAGGUCUGUUUGUUUUCAGUGUGAAGUGCAAUUCAUCUAUUUUGAGUGUGAA